rnacentral:rRNA from 1 species
GGUUAAGCGACUAAGCGUACACGGUGGAUGCCCUGGCAGUCAGAGGCGAUGAAGGACGUGCUAAUCUGCGAUAAGCGCCGGUAAGGUGAUAUGAACCGUUAUAACCGGCGAUACCCGAAUGGGGAAACCCAGUGUGACUCGUCACACUAUCAUUAACUGAAUCCAUAGGUUAAUGAGGCGAACCGGGGGAACUGAAACAUCUAAGUACCCCGAGGAAAAGAAAUCAACCGAGAUUCCCCCAGUAGCGGCGAGCGAACGGGGAGGAGCCCAGAGCCUGAAUCAGCAUGUGUGUUAGUGGAAGCGUCUGGAAAGGCGCGCGAUACAGGGUGACAGCCCCGUACACAAAAGCGCAUGUGCUGUGAGCUCGAUGAGUAGGGCGGGACACGUGGUAUCCUGUCUGAAUAUGGGGGGACCAUCCUCCAAGGCUAAAUACUCCUGACUGACCGAUAGUGAACCAGUACCGUGAGGGAAAGGCGAAAAGAACCCCGGCGAGGGGAGUGAAAAAGAACCUGAAACCGUGUACGUACAAGCAGUGGGAGCACAGGUUUACCUGUGUGACUGCGUACCUUUUGUAUAAUGGGUCAGCGACUUAUAUUCUGUAGCAAGGUUAACCGCAUAGGGGAGCCGGAGGGAAACCGAGUCUUAAUUGGGCGUUAAGUUGCAGGGUAUAGACCCGAAACCCGGUGAUCUAGCCAUGGGCAGGUUGAAGGUUGGGUAACACUAACUGGAGGACCGAACCGACUAAUGUUGAAAAAUUAGCGGAUGACCUGUGGCUGGGGGUGAAAGGCCAAUCAAACCGGGAGAUAGCUGGUUCUCCCCGAAAGCUAUUUAGGUAGCGCCUCGUGAAUUCAUCUCCGGGGGUAGAGCACUGUUUCGGCUAGGGGGCCAUCCCGGCUUACCAACCCGAUGCAAACUGCGAAUACCGGAGAAUGUUAUCACGGGAGACACACGGCGGGUGCUAACGUCCGUCGUGAAGAGGGAAACAACCCAGACCGCCAGCUAAGGUCCCAAAGUCAUGGUUAAGUGGGAAACGAUGUGGGAAGGCCCAGACAGCCAGGAUGUUGGCUUAGAAGCAGCCAUCAUUUAAAGAAAGCGUAAUAGCUCACUGGUCGAGUCGGCCUGCGCGGAAGAUGUAACGGGGCUAAACCAUGCACCGAAGCUGCGGCAGCGACACUGUGUGUUGUUGGGUAGGGGAGCGUUCUGUAAGCCUGCGAAGGUGGCCUGUGAGGGUUGCUGGAGGUAUCAGAAGUGCGAAUGCUGACAUAAGUAACGAUAAAGCGGGUGAAAAGCCCGCUCGCCGGAAGACCAAGGGUUCCUGUCCAACGUUAAUCGGGGCAGGGUGAGUCGACCCCUAAGGCGAGGCCGAAAGGCGUAGUCGAUGGGAAACGGGUUAAUAUUCCCGUACUUGGUGUUACUGCGAAGGGGGGACGGAGAAGGCUAUGUUGGCCGGGCGACGGUUGUCCCGGUUUAAGCGUGUAGGCUGGUUUUCCAGGCAAAUCCGGAAAAUCAAGGCUGAGGCGUGACGACGAGGCACUACGGUGCUGAAGCAACAAAUGCCCUGCUUCCAGGAAAAGCCUCUAAGCAUCAGGUAACAUCAAAUCGUACCCCAAACCGACACAGGUGGUCAGGUAGAGAAUACCAAGGCGCUUGAGAGAACUCGGGUGAAGGAACUAGGCAAAAUGGUGCCGUAACUUCGGGAGAAGGCACGCUGACACGUAGGUGAAGUGAUUUACUCAUGGAGCUGAAGUCAGUCGAAGAUACCAGCUGGCUGCAACUGUUUAUUAAAAACACAGCACUGUGCAAACACGAAAGUGGACGUAUACGGUGUGACGCCUGCCCGGUGCCGGAAGGUUAAUUGAUGGGGUCAGCGCAAGCGAAGCUCCUGAUCGAAGCCCCGGUAAACGGCGGCCGUAACUAUAACGGUCCUAAGGUAGCGAAAUUCCUUGUCGGGUAAGUUCCGACCUGCACGAAUGGCGUAAUGAUGGCCAGGCUGUCUCCACCCGAGACUCAGUGAAAUUGAACUCGCUGUGAAGAUGCAGUGUACCCGCGGCAAGACGGAAAGACCCCGUGAACCUUUACUAUAGCUUGACACUGAACAUUGAGCCUUGAUGUGUAGGAUAGGUGGGAGGCUUUGAAGUGUGGACGCCAGUCUGCAUGGAGCCGACCUUGAAAUACCACCCUUUAAUGUUUGAUGUUCUAACGUGGACCCGUAAUCCGGGUUGCGGACAGUGUCUGGUGGGUAGUUUGACUGGGGCGGUCUCCUCCUAAAGAGUAACGGAGGAGCACGAAGGUUGGCUAAUCCUGGUCGGACAUCAGGAGGUUAGUGCAAUGGCAUAAGCCAGCUUGACUGCGAGCGUGACGGCGCGAGCAGGUGCGAAAGCAGGUCAUAGUGAUCCGGUGGUUCUGAAUGGAAGGGCCAUCGCUCAACGGAUAAAAGGUACUCCGGGGAUAACAGGCUGAUACCGCCCAAGAGUUCAUAUCGACGGCGGUGUUUGGCACCUCGAUGUCGGCUCAUCACAUCCUGGGGCUGAAGUAGGUCCCAAGGGUAUGGCUGUUCGCCAUUUAAAGUGGUACGCGAGCUGGGUUUAGAACGUCGUGAGACAGUUCGGUCCCUAUCUGCCGUGGGCGCUGGAGAACUGAGGGGGGCUGCUCCUAGUACGAGAGGACCGGAGUGGACGCAUCACUGGUGUUCGGGUUGUCAUGCCAAUGGCACUGCCCGGUAGCUAAAUGCGGAAGAGAUAAGUGCUGAAAGCAUCUAAGCACGAAACUUGCCCCGAGAUGAGUUCUCCCUGAGACUUAGAGUCUCCUGAAGGAACGUUGAAGACGACGACGUUGAUAGGCCGGGUGUGUAAGCGCAGCGAUGCGUUGAGCUAACCGGUACUAAUGAACCGUGAGGCUUAACCUU